rnacentral:rRNA from 1 species
UACGUAGGGUGCGAGCGUUAAUCGGAAUUACUGGGCGUAAAGCGUGCGCAGGCGGUUUUGCGAGCCGGGUGUGAAAUCCCCGGGCUCAACCUGGGAAUGGCAUGCGGGACGGCAAGGCUGGAGUGCGGCAGAGGAGACUGGAAUUCCUGGUGUAGCAGUGAAAUGCGUAGAUAUCGGGAGGAACACCUGUGGCGAAAGCGGCUCACUGGACCACAACUGACGCUGAGGCGCGAAAGCUAGGGGAGCAAACAGG